UGUGUUCAGUUCCUACCGCUUCCACUGGAUGUCCCCAGUCUUUGGAAUUUGGUUGAGGUUAUUCCCUUGUGCAAUGAAGAAGUACGGCCAUCUAGGACAUGGGUAACACUGUUGAGAUUUGCGCAAGACUUGAAAAGUAGCGUUAGUUUCCUCUCAUCCUCUAUUGAAAACAGAUAGACGCGUCUUCAAUUUGAUUGAUUAUUAACGUUUAAAAUUACCUAAAGUUGUAUUACUAAAGUAGUUUAAAGUGUUUUGGCAAAGUUUACAGGGAACUUUUGAGAUAUUUUGUAGUGACGUUGCACAAUUUGGAAGCUGUUUUUUUCUGGAUCAAACUUGCCAAAUUAUUGGACAUUUUGGAUAUAUAUGGACGGAAUUAUUCGAACAAAAUGACCAAUUGUGAUGUUUAUGGAACAUAUUGGAGUGCCAACAAAAGAAGCUCGUCAAAGCGCUGCAUUUUCCCUGGCUUUUAGCCAAGUGGGACGCAAGCAUCCCCUAUACCAUAAAAGUUAAGAAAACUUCUGGGAAGUACCGUAUGGUGCAAGACUUCAGACAACUCAGCCAGGGAUUUUGUGACAGCCCCUCCAUCUUCAACCGUAUAUUGAAGGAAGACCUAAAGCAUCUGGCUUUUCCCAGAGGCAGCACUCUGGUACAAUAUGUGGAUGAUCUUCUGAUAUGCUACCCCUCGAUGGAAACCUGUCAGACUGAUACCCUGUAUCUUCUUACUCAGCUUGCUCUGAUGGGCCACAAGGUCUCAAAAGACAAACUACAACUAUGGAAAUAAACAGUCCUGUUCAUUGGACUUCAGAUCUCUCAACACCAGAAGGGUUGAUCAAAGGAAAGGAUUCAAACAAUACUCACCACCCCAGGACCUAAAAACAUCAAAGGAUUGCUGUCAUUCUUGGGAUGCUGUGGUUAUUGUAGAAACUAGAUCUGUGACUACUCAUUGAUUGUACCACUGAGGGAGAUGUGGAGUGGACGGCCAUCUGCAUUCCUGACCUGGGACAGAUUAAAUAAAGGCAUUUGAAGAUUUGAAGAAAGCACUGGCUAGUGCUCCAGCCUUGGGUUGCCUGACUAUAACACAAAUAAAUUCAUCUUUGUAGCUGAAAAAAGGGGGUUUGCCUCAGUUGUUGUUACACAAAAAUCAAGUGGAGAGCAUAAACUCUGUGCUUACUACUCUACCAGAUUGGAUAAUGUAGUGAGGGGUAUGCAUCCAUGUGAUAGAAGCCUUGCUGCGACAGCAUAUGCGAUUGAAAAGAGUACUACUCUUUUGUUAAUGCAUAAAACCACCCUCUAUGUGUCUCACAGUGUGAUGGCAGUCCUGAACCAAAAUAACUCCUGCAAGGCUUUGUGGCUAUGAGACCCUACUGACACAACCCAAUAGUGUUAAUCCUGCUGCCUUCCUGGCAGAACAGACAGAACAGGGGAUACGCCACACGAAUGUGAAAAAAAUAUUGACUCUAAGGCUAGGCCUGACCUCUCUGACACUGCCCUGACUGAUUCUGACUUGGAGAUUUUCGUUGAUGGUUCUGCAUAUAUAGAUCAAACUACAGGGAAGAAACAUUCAGGGUUUAGUUUUGUAACAAUUGAUAGAACCACUCAGAUACAACAACCAUUACCAGAUACUUUCUCAGCUCAACAGGCUGAACCUUUGGCAAUAACUACUGCCUGUAAAAUGGGAGAAAGGAAAGGGUUACUAUUACUAUGAGGUUUAAUAUUGUUUCACAGUACUUUUCUAGGCUCUCUGCCUCUUAUGAAGAAACUGUCUGAGAAAUGUGUGACUGUGAAGACAGAACUCUGCAGAGGAGUGUAAGAGAAGAGAUUAGUCAGACAUUCCACUAUAAAUCAACUUGGACAUUUACUGCUAAGCUUUUAGACAGCUAUAUAAACAAGAGUUUUAGUGUUGAGUAGGCAUGGUUUUUGACGUAGGCAGUGACAUCACUAGGGCUGGACUUCGGGUUUAAUAAAAUAAUUUGGGACCUUUUCUUUGAUGCAGAACUUACUCGGAAACAUGCGUUAUAUUCCUGUUGUCAACUUCUGUCUGCAAUUGCAUUAAUAAAGGUUUUUUAAUGAUUUAAUUAAAGAUAUUGUCAUAAUGCUAAUUUCACCAAUGAUUGACAAGGAACAAGGUAACAAACCCCAACAUAUGAUUACUGUAUAUCUGUGAUAACCUUUGUAUGCUUGCAAUGCGCAAUGAUGGAAAAGUACUGGAUAAUGGAGAUAUAAUGCUUUAGUUCUUGGGCUGAGAACUGUCUGCACCUGCUGAUAGUCACACAGCCUCAAGGCUGAGAUAGUAGAGUGAGAAACCACAGUCUAGACAUGUUUUUCUCAUCUUAGACACUUUGUAUCUAAUCCAAUGCAUCAA